AUAAAUGUUUUACGGGAUUGCA
rnacentral:siRNA from 1 species